rnacentral:lncRNA from 1 species
AGUCCAACCCAAUCCCUUCAUGUCUUAACUCUCUCAUGCACGAAUCAAGCCCCAUCCCCAUUCGGGCACAACCCAAUUGAGCCAAUUGAACCCCAAUUAGCCAUUCUAUCAUCUUUUUUCUCCUAUCCGCAAGAAAAACCCUGGCCACUAUUGAAAAAAAAGAAGGAGAAAAGAAGAUUCAGCUGCCAUCAUUCCCAAGUUUCAGCACCUCCC